rnacentral:lncRNA from 1 species
GCGGUUGCACCUCCCAUAGCAACCUGGGUCCGAAUGGGCUGAACCAUUCGACCCAAUUUGAGUUCUUCAGGGGCCCAAUUGCCCCAGGAUUAAGCUAAUGGGAUCACCUCCCAUUUAUAACUUAAUCAAAGUGCUAACUACGAUUAUUUCCUAAGACAUAUUCUGCAGCUUGCUUCGGUGCGUCACUCGCUUCUUCCGGCGAGUUUCCAGCGAACUUUCGUCGAUCAUCCGAUGAACCCUCGGUGAUGCUCCUGCGG